rnacentral:pre_miRNA from 1 species
ACAACAUUUGGACCGUCGGUCUACCGAGCAAUAUCACCCGCUCGGUGGAAGAUCUUCCCUCUGUCGU